rnacentral:rRNA from 1 species
GGUUAAGCGACUAAGCGUACACGGUGGAUGCCCUGGCAGUCAGAGGCGAUGAAGGGCGUGCUAAUCUGCGAUAAGCGCCGGUAAGGUGAUAUGAACCGUUAUAACCGGCGAUACCCGAAUGGGGAAACCCAGUGUGAUUCGUCACACUAUCAUUAACUGAAUCCAUAGGUUAAUGAGGCGAACCGGGGGAACUGAAACAUCUAAGUACCCCGAGGAAAAGAAAUCAACCGAGAUUCCCCCAGUAGCGGCGAGCGAACGGGGAGGAGCCCAGAGCCUGAAUCAGCAUGUGUGUUAGUGGAAGCGUCUGGAAAGUCGCGCGAUACAGGGUGACAGCCCCGUACACAAAAGCGCAUGUGUUGUGAGCUCGAUGAGUAGGGCGGGACACGUGGUAUCCUGUCUGAAUAUGGGGGGACCAUCCUCCAAGGCUAAAUACUCCUGACUGACCGAUAGUGAACCAGUACCGUGAGGGAAAGGCGAAAAGAACCCCGGCGAGGGGAGUGAAAAAGAACCUGAAACCGUGUACGUACAAGCAGUGGGAGCACAGGUUUACCUGUGUGACUGCGUACCUUUUGUAUAAUGGGUCAGCGACUUAUAUUCUGUAGCAAGGUUAACCGUAUAGGGGAGCCGGAGGGAAACCGAGUCUUAAUUGGGCGUUAAGUUGCAGGGUAUAGACCCGAAACCCGGUGAUCUAGCCAUGGGCAGGUUGAAGGUUGGGUAACACUAACUGGAGGACCGAACCGACUAAUGUUGAAAAAUUAGCGGAUGACCUGUGGCUGGGGGUGAAAGGCCAAUCAAACCGGGAGAUAGCUGGUUCUCCCCGAAAGCUAUUUAGGUAGCGCCUCGUGAAUUCAUCUCCGGGGGUAGAGCACUGUUUCGGCUAGGGGGCCAUCCCGGCUUACCAACCCGAUGCAAACUGCGAAUACCGGAGAAUGUUAUCACGGGAGACACACGGCGGGUGCUAACGUCCGUCGUGAAGAGGGAAACAACCCAGACCGCCAGCUAAGGUCCCAAAGUCAUGGUUAAGUGGGAAACGAUGUGGGAAGGCCCAGACAGCCAGGAUGUUGGCUUAGAAGCAGCCAUCAUUUAAAGAAAGCGUAAUAGCUCACUGGUCGAGUCGGCCUGCGCGGAAGAUGUAACGGGGCUAAACCAUGCACCGAAGCUGCGGCAGCGACACUGUGUGUUGUUGGGUAGGGGAGCGUUCUGUAAGCCUGUGAAGGUGUGUCGUGAGGCAUGCUGGAGGUAUCAGAAGUGCGAAUGCUGACAUAAGUAACGAUAAAGCGGGUGAAAAGCCCGCUCGCCGGAAGACCA